rnacentral:lncRNA from 1 species
UUCCAAUCAUCCAAAUCAAGUCGUGUUUUUGAAUUUAAUGUUGCUUUGGUCCUAAUUGAGUGGUAGUGACUUUACUUACUCUAUAAUCUAGAUCAUGUGUCAGUUCUCUUCUUUUUGUCCUCUCCCCAAAACAAAACAAAAUUUCAAAUGGGAGAGUGUUUUAUGAAAAUGGUAUCUUCAAAAGAAAGUAUAUAUUAUCAAAUGGGAAAAUACCUUCUUUUAGCCUUCCAUGCAAUGUCAUAAGUAGUGCCUCAAGAUCCCCCUCCGUAGGUCAUGUAUGCAAUACUCUAAAAUAUCAAUGGUGAUUCAUCAAAUUUUCACCUUCAUUUAAAUGACCUUCACACUUCUCAAAUUGGUGCCUCACUCAAAGUUCCUCCCCAAAGUUGGCUUUUCCUUCAAGGCUUAUGCCUUGCUUUUUGGCAAGCCUUGUCCAUUGUCCAUAUUAUGUAGGAAGUGAUGUUUCUUAAAGUCAAUGGAUUAUUAAAAGCUUGGUUAACUUUGGAAAUGGUUGUGAAACUAUGUGCUUGGUUCAAUGAUUUCAAGAUGGCUAUCACCAAUCAUAUUCCCUUACCUUGACACGUCAUAAUUGCAUCAUAAGCAAGUGUUCAUCUCUAUAUUACUAUCUUUGUAUGCCCUUAAAGAGUUGCCUCUUGAGCAUUGCAUUGCAUAUUUUCUGUCAAACAUUUGUCUUAUCA